rnacentral:tRNA from 1 species
GGGAAUGUAGCUCAAAUGGUAGAGUGCUUGUUUAGCUUGCAAGAGGCAUGGGGAUUAAUACCCCGCAUCUUCA